rnacentral:misc_RNA from 1 species
AGCAUCUCACAAACCUUGUGUUUUCGAACAUGGGCAAGUGGAUCUGGAUGCUUUGCGUUUUCGCAAGCAUCUGAAAAUGAUUGUAUGUGCACCAAUUGGUAUUGCCACUUGGGUUCCAACGUGCAACAGAUUUAUCUAUUUCGCGGAGGUAACCUUACUGACUGCCAGCCGGAGCGCAUGCUCACAAGCGAACACGGUGGUUGCAUCAUUUUGAUGUCGGCUUCCGAUA